CUACGGAAGGUCCGGGCGUUAUCCGGAUUUAUUGGGUUUAAAGGGAGCGCAGGCGGAGAUGCAAGCGUGACGUCAAAUUUCGGGGCUCAACCCCGUCUCGCGUCGCGAACUGCGUCCCUUGGUUGCGGGAAGGGGAGGCGGAACUCGUGGUGUAGCGGUGAAAUGCAUAGAUAUCACGAAGUACUCCGAUCGCGAAGGCUGCCUUCUGGCCCGUCGGCGUCGCUCUUGCUCGGUGGUGCGUGUAUCCUGCGGGUUUUGUUGCCCUGGUUGUCCGCGCAGUGUGCGCUGGGCCCCCGCGGUUUGGCCUGUAUGGCUGAGCCGCCGAGCGAAAGCGUUAAGUGUCCCACCUGGGGAGUACGCCGGCAACGGUGAAACUCAAAGGAAUUGACGGGG
rnacentral:rRNA from 1 species